UACAGAGGGGGCAAGCGUUGUUCGGAAUUACUGGGCGUAAAGGGCGCGUAGGCGGCCAACUAAGUCGGACGUGAAAUCCCCAGGCUCAACCUGGGAACUGCGUCCGAUACUGGAUGGCUCGAAUCCGGGAGAGGGAUGUGGAAUUCCAGGUGUAGCGGUGAAAUGCGUAGAUAUCUGGAGGAACACCGGUGGCGAAGGCGGCAUCCUGGACCGGUAUUGACGCUGAGGCGCGAAAGCCAGGGGAGCAAACGGG
rnacentral:rRNA from 1 species